GACGAACGCUGGUGGCGUGCUUAACACAUGCAAGUCGAACGGGAUGUAGUAAACAGCAGCCUCGGUGGAAGAUUACUAAUGAGAGUGGCGAACGGGUGAGUAACGCGUGAGCAACCUGCCUAUGACGGUGGGAUAGCCUCGGGAAACCGGGAUUAAUACCGCAUAAAAUCGUAGAAACACAUGUUUUAACGGUCAAAGAUUUAUCGGUAAUAGAUGGGCUCGCGUCUGAUUAGCUAGUUGGUGAGAUAACAGCCCACCAAGGCGACGAUCAGUAGCCGGUCUGAGAGGAUGAACGGCCACAGUAGAACUGAGGCACGGUCCAAACUCCUACGGGAGGCAGCAGUAGGGAAUAUUGCACAAUGGGGGAAACCCUGAUGCAGCGACGCCGCGUGAACGAAGAAGGUAUUCGUAUCGUAAAGUUCUGUCCUAUGGGAAGAUAAUGACAGUACCAUAGAAGAAAGCUCCGGCUAAAUACGUG
rnacentral:rRNA from 1 species